AUAUUGCACAAUGGGGGAAACCCUGAUGCAGCAACGCCGCGUGAAGGAAGACGGUUUUCGGAUUGUAAACUUCUGUUAUAAAGGAAGAACGGCACAUAUAGGGAAUGAUAUGUGAGUGACGGUACUUUAUGAGGAAGCCACGGCUAACUACGUGCCAGCAGCCGCGGUAAUACGUAGGUGGCGAGCGUUAUCCGGAAUUAUUGGGCGUAAAGAGGGAGCAGGCGGCAGCAAGGGUCUGUGGUGAAAGGCUGAAGCUUAACUUCAGUGUGCCAGAGAAACCGGGCAGCUAGAGUGCAGGAGAGGAUCGUGGAAUUCCAUGUGUAGCGGUGAAAUGCGUAGAUAUAUGGAGGAACACCAGUGGCGAAGGCGACGAUCUGGACUGCAACUGACGCUCAGUCCCGAAAGCGUGGGGAGCAAAUAG
rnacentral:rRNA from 1 species